AUUGAACGCUGGCGGCAGGCCUAACACAUGCAAGUCGAACGAGUGGCGGACGGGUGAGUAAUGUCUGGGAAACUGCCUGAUGGAGGGGGAUCACUACUGGAAACGGUAGCUAAUACCGCAUACCAUCAGAUGUGUCCAUAUCGGAUUAGCUUGUUGGUGGGGUAACGACUCACCAAGGCGACGAUCCCUAGCUGGUCUAAGAGGAUGACCAGCCACACUGCAAAUGAGAAGCAGGCCAGACUCCUACGGGAGGCAGCAGUUGGGAAUAUUGCACAAGGGGCGCAAGCCUGAUGCAGCCAUGCAGCGUGUAUGAAGAAGGCCUUCGGGUUGUAAAGUACUUUCAGCGGGGAGGCGUUACCCGCAGAAGAAGCACCGGCUAACUCCGUGCCAGCAGCCGCGGUAAUUC
rnacentral:rRNA from 1 species